rnacentral:rRNA from 1 species
GACGAACGCUGGCGGCGUGCUUAACACAUGCAAGUCGAACGGAAAGGCCUGCUUUCCCUUGUGGAUUGCGGGUACUCGAGUGGCGAACGGGUGAGUAACACGUGAGUGAUCUGCCCCCAACUUGGGUAUAAGCCUGGGAUACUGGGUCUAAUUCCCGAUAGUACGGCAGGGUGGUGCCUGUGUUGGAAAACGACGUGCUAGUGGUUGGGGAUGAGCUCGCGGCCUAUCAGCUUGUUGGUGGGGUAAUGGCCUACCAAGGCGGGGACGGGUAGCCGGCCUGAGAGGAUCGACGGCCACAUUGGGACAGGGAUACGGCCCAGACGCCUACGGGAGGCAGCAGUUGGGAAUAUUGCACAAUGGGCGGAAGCCUGAUGCAGCGACGCCGCGUGGGGGAUGACGGCCUUCGGGUUGUAAACUCCUUUCGACCGCGAGGAAGCCACCUGGUUGGAAGGGUGGUGACGGUAGUGGUAGAAGAAGCACCGGCUAACUACGUG